rnacentral:lncRNA from 1 species
CACGUCAGUCAUUGAUACCUUGCUAAAUAUUACUUCAAUUAUUUGUUCACAAGCAUUCAUUAACUGCCUUGUGUGUUCAAAUUUGAAAUCAGGUCCUCUUGACUCCAGGCCCGAUGGAGUCCAGUAGGUUCCUGCAAGAAAAUUUGAGGAGCAAAAGAACAAUUUUAUCAAAUGGAUCCUUUGCUUUCCUUUUAUCCACCAGCAAACCGUGGUCCUGAGUGCUUGAAUGGAGCCUGGAGAGCCUCUGGGUGGAAUGAAUAAAAAAGUAAAUUUAGAGUAGUGGCCUGUGAAAGAUCCGUUGGCAUCUACGAGUUGGUACCAUGGGAGUGGAGCAAAGGAGAGUGGGCAUUAAUAGAUGUGAUGACCCUGGGCUCUUGAAGACUAACAGGAGUGUAAGCUGGAAUAUGGCUCUGAUGACCUGUGUUCUACUAACAACUGAAAAGGAAUGAGAGACAAGAUGGAGAAGCACUUGAAGUGGCAAAAUUAAGUUAAAGUAAGAAAUUCUAGAAGCAUUGGAGUUAUAAAUAAAGUCUCCAGUAUUUUCA